GUGACCUCAAAUCAGGUAG
rnacentral:rRNA from 1 species